GACCGCAGUUGACCUGAUGUUGACCGGUGUUGACCACAGUUGACCAAAGUUGUCACGAACCAAAAUCUGGCCUGUCGAACCGCACCCGAACCGUGGCUGACCGAUUGACUCGAACUGAAUCUCAGUUGACCGAGUUAACUGAGUUGACUCGGUUUGACCGUGUUGACCGAGUUGGCUCGGUUUGACCGAGUCAACCAAACCGAGCUGAGUUGACCCGCACCCGAAACUGUAAAGUGACUCAAGCCGAAGCACCCAGAACCUGCUGGAUUUGACUCGUAACUGAGUUGCUGACUAUUUGAUCCAACCGGACCAAACCGCCGGCGAUCACCAUCACUUCCGUCAACCCUGAUGCAAACCCCCCCCCCUCAUCGUCACUUUUAUGAAACGUGCCGUAACUUGACUGAAAGAAUGCAGAACCAUAAGAAUCUGAGAAAAAUUUAGUAGAGAGAAGUGAGGUUGAAAGAUUUACCGAUUAUUACAGCUUAUGUCAAAAUCCUCGUCAUCCUUAUCACCAUAAGCACCAUCGCCUGUGCCUUCGCCGCCGCCGCCGUGAGCGGCGGCGCUACCGCCGGUCCACCACCAAGCUCACCACUGCCUCCGACCACCGGGACUCCGUCUUAUCUCUCUCUGCUCCCGUUUUCUGGUCUCGCCGCCGCACACGGCGGCUCUCUUGAUUACCGAGGGGUGUGAGUGUAUGGGGGUGGGUGUGUCGCAUCGGAGGAGGGGCACCGGUGGCUUGAGUUGCGCCGACACCGGCUAGUCGCAGGUGAAAUGAGGGAUUCAGGUGUGAAGGUGGGUGUCUGGUUGUGGUUUUGAAAUCGAAGAAGAAGGGGAAGUAGGGAGGGGAGUCUGAUGGCGUGCGUGUUUGGUUUUCUCAAAUGGGUUGGGCCCAGGGCCCGUUAA
rnacentral:lncRNA from 1 species